GCUGGGUAUGAUGGCACACACCUGUAAUCCCAACAACUCAGGAGGCUGAGUCAGGAGGAUCAUGACUUCAAAGCCAGCCUCAGCAACAUAGCAAGGCCCUAAGCAACUUAAUAAGACCCUGUCUCUA
rnacentral:sRNA from 1 species